UGGCAAGAACGCAUUACUCGUUGCGUAUUUUCAUUUUUGGUUUCAUUUUAUAUGGAGAUUUAAAUAGGGCUAGUGUUACCCUUAACAAUAAACGUUUGUGUACAAACUUCUGUCGUAAUAGUGUUUAAAUCAGCCUAAAUUAAGUCUAAACGAGAAUUGCAUCGCACGUUGCAUGUCAUAACACCAGUUCUCUUUCUCUGUUUAUAAAGGCUCCAGGAAUUAAACGGGACUAUACAGCAGAGAUGAUAUCUCAAUGCUUCACAUUGGGGAUGAAUGUGUGGCAAUAAUUUAAGUUUGCCUUUGAUUUAGUGACAAAAAUUACAUUUUUGUGUUGCAAAGGACUACUUUUUGCUUGUUUUAGGUGUUCUGCACCCGAGCCCGUCAUCGCAGGAGACCCCUCAGAUUAGAUUUUGCACCUGAGUCUGAAAUCGUAGAAGGACCAUUCUUGCAUCAGAUUGGAUUUUGUACCGGAGUCUGACAUCGUAGAAGGACCAUUCUUGCAUUAGAUUAUUUUCUGCACCUAAAGUCGACAUCGUAGCAGAACGAUUCUUGCAUCUGAGUGUGUUCUGCAUCCGACCCCGACAUCGCAGGAGGACUAUUCUUGCAUCAGAUUUUCGACCUUGGCUUGCGCAGCACGCUGUGCGCUGCGAUUUGAAAUUUGAAUAGUACCGCACCGGUCACCGUAUGUCGUCGGCUUCGAGUGACAAUUCGCUAUACUGCACAGUACAUCUUGCGCUGGCGUGUUGGUUGUAGAUUUUUUCGGUUUAGUCAGUCGGUGGUACGCAAUUGUAGACAUCGACAUCGUAGCAGAACCAUUCUUGCAUCAGAUUAGAUUUUGCACCUGAGUAUGAUAUCGUAGCAGGACCAUUCUUGCAUCAGAUUGGAUUUUGCACCUGAGUCUGACAUCGUAGAAUUACCAUUCUCGCAUUUGAUUUGAUUUUACAUCUGAGUCUGACAUCGUAGAAUGACCAUUCUUGCAUUCGAUUGGAUAUUGCACCUGAGUCUGACAUGGUAGAAGGACCAUUCUUGCAUCAGAUUGGAUUUUGUACCUGAGUCUGACAUCGUAGAAGGACCAUUCUUACAUCAGAUUGGAUAUUGCACCUGAGUCUGACAUGGUAGAAUGACCAUUCUUGCAUCAGAUUGGAUUUUGUACCUGAGUCUGACAUCGUAGAAGGACCAUUCUUACAUCAGAUUGGAUAUUGCACCUGAGUCUGACAUCGUAGAAGGACCAUUCUUACAUCAGAUAGGAUAUUGCACCUGAGUCUGACAUCGUAGAAGGACCAUUCUUACAUCAGAUUGGAUAUUGCACCUGAGUCUGACAUCGUAGAAGGACCAUUCUUACAUCAGAUUGGAUAUUGCACCUGAGUCUGACAUCGUAGAAGGACCAUUCUUACAUCAGAUUGGAUAUUGCACCUGAGUCUGACAUCGUAGAAGGACCAUUCGUGCAUCAGAUUGGAUUUUGUACCUGAGUCUGACAUCGUAGAAGGACCAUUCUUGCAUCAGAUUGGAUUUUGUACCUGAGUCUGACAUCGUAGAAGGACCAUUCUUAGAUCAGAUUGAAUAUUGCACCUGAGUCUGACAUCGUAGAAUGAUCAUUCUUACAUCAGAUUGGAUGUUGUUCCUGAGUCUGACAUCGUAGAAUGACCAUUCUUGCAUCAGAUUGUGUUCUGCACCCGAUUCCGAUAUCUUAGGAGAACCAUUCUUGCAUAAGAUUGUGUUCUGCACCCGAUCCCGAUAUCGUAGCAGAACCAUUCUUACAUCAGAUUGUAAGUAAUUAAUUUCUUUAUCGUUUUCAUAAAUAACUUUUAUGAAGAACUUAUGAAUUAGCGAGAAAAAUUUACUUUUUGUAUUUCCAAGCACUGAUUUUUGCUGGUUACUAAAACUGUUUGUUUACAUUUAGUCAUUCUGAAUAGUUUUUGGAAUAUAUAUAACAUGGAUUGUGUUUUAUUAAUUUUCGUUCAAGUGAGUGAAAUAGAAAUACCAGGAUGAGGUGAUAGCUGAAUUUUCUGCACCUUGUUUAUGCUCUCAGUUCGACCUUGGCUUGCGCAGCACGCUGUGCGCUGACAUUUGAAAUUUGAACAGUACCGUACCGGUCGCAGCAUGUCGUCGGCCGGCUUCAAGUGACAAUUCGCCAUACUGCUCAGAACAUCUUGCGCUGUCGUAUGGGCUGUUGUUUUUUCCUGUUUAGUCAGUCAGUGGUACGCAAUUGUGCUGCGUGUUCUGUUUCACCGCCGGUCUUCAUCGCGACUGUUAGCAUUUCGGGAGACUUUAAAACGGUGCGAGUCUUAUAAUUGUUUAGUCAUCGAUUGCUAUCAACUAAUGAACAAGUGAUUUAUCUCGAAUCGACUCGAGACACCACGCGCGCGUGUGUAAGCCAUCAGCCGCCGGCCGUCGGAUCUCUUACGAUGGGCUACGGAUUCCAAUUGGAUUUAUAGGCCAAAAUGGUAUUGUUAAUUAGUCGGGAUAAAUAACGCGUUUUCUCCGUGUGGUAUAGUGCAUAAAUAAAACAGUGAGUAGUUACAUCAAUUCUACAAACAAUUCUACUUUAUGUGUAACGUUUGAUAAGAGAGCGUUGUGGCUCCAUGGUAUGUAGGAUAUGCCUUGGAUCGUACAUACGUUCGUUUUAUUAA